GAUCAUGGCUCAGGAUGAACGCUGGCGGCGCGCUUAACACAUGCAAGUCGAACGGUUAAAGCACCUCCGGGUGUGCAUAAAGUGGCGAACGGCUGAGUAACACGUGGGCAACCUGCCCCCCGCACCGGGAUAGCCUCGGGAAACCGUGGGUAAUACCGGAUACUCCGCCACCCCCGCAUGGGGGAGGCGGGAAAGCGUACACGGCGGGGGAUGGGCCCGCGGCCUGUUAGCUCGUUGGCGGGGUAACGGCCCACCAAGGCGAUUAUGGGUAGCCGGGUUGAGAGACCGACCGGCCAGAUUGGGACUGAGACACGGCCCAGACUCCUACGGGAGGCAGCAGUGGGGAAUCUUGCACAAUGGGCGAAAGCCUGAUGCAAGCGACGCCGCGUGCGGGAUGAAGGCCCUCGGGUUGUAAACCGCUUUCAGCAGGGACGAGGCGCAAGUGACGGUACCUGCAGAAGAAGCCCCGGCUAACUACGUGCCAGCAGCGGC
rnacentral:rRNA from 1 species